AGUGCUCUUAUUUGUUGGAAAUACAAGGGAUACUGUAGUUAUCUGAUCACCAGCUUGAAGAGGACCAAAGAAAUAUUCUGACUCCCUCAUGCCUCUCCAAGAAUCACAGGGGGAUGGAGACAGAGCCAUUGAAUUAAGUAGGUCCUAAAACCUACCUGACCUAUGGAUUUCCAGGUGACAUAAUUACCUACCCUGGUCUUGAAGGAGUGUCCUUUUGUGGGAGCAUUGCUGUGUAGUCAACGUGUGCCCAUUGGCUUUGGUGGAAGAUCUGUAUCUGACAUGAUCAGGGUUCACGUCUUCCAUGAGGCUUCCCUCCUCUCUGGCUGCCACAUAACAUUGAGCGGAGUUCUCCGUGCUAUGCACUAUUUUAAUGCUAGUUUUCAACCUCUCAUCCUCCCACUGCCUCCCUCCGCCACCACCUUGAGAGGCAGACUCCAUGUUUUCAUCAACAGUACUUCAUGUUUUGCUGUCGGGCUACUUCUCUGCAUCCACUGUUUCUUGUGAGACCACACUGAAAACAAACAAAUGAGCACUCUUCACACUUCAAAAGGAGACCCAAAGGGAAGAAGAAUGAAAUUGGGGCCAAAAGGUUAAGAGAGGAAAGAUGCAGUCCCUCUUUUUCUGGACCAAUACAUCGUGGUUUCUGUUUGAGUAAGCAAUUACAGACCUCUGGCUAGCCAAGUCUCUGGUCUUUCGCCCCAGACUUUGAUAAUUUGGUCCUCAGUGUAGCUGUCUUUGAAUUUUUCAUGCAUUUUUUUCCUUGGUGUACUGAGUCAAAAUGUCUCAGAUAAAAACUUCCCAUUCUCUAUAAUAAAUUCCCAAUUUCGAUCUGCUGCAGUAACCAUGCUAAGGUGUUUCUCUAUUUCUCUGUCUCCCUCACACACACACUGUUCUGCAGUCUCAGAGGAAAUGCAAGGUGAAUUUAAUAUGAGAAAUCAUAUAUCAGACUAUAGACCUUAUGGUUUGUAAAUAUCCACACAGGAGUACACAAGUAUUUAUUAAUAAAUAUCCUUUUGUCUU